CCUAUGGGUGGCUGCAGUGGGGAAUAUUGGACAAUGGGGGCAACCCUGAUCCAGCCAUGCCGCGUGUGUGAAGAAGGCCCUCGGGUUGUAAAGCACUUUCAGUGAGGAAGAACGCCUGGUGGUUAAUACCCAUCAGGAAAGACAUCACUCACAGAAGAAGCACCGGCUAACUCCGUGCCAGCAGCCGCGGUAAUACGGAGGGUGCGAGCGUUAAUCGGAAUUACUGGGCGUAAAGCGCGCGUAGGUGGCUUGAUAAGCCGGUUGUGAAAGCCCCGGGCUCAACCUGGGAACGGCAUCCGGAACUGUCAAGCUAGAGUGCAGGAGAGGAAGGUAGAAUUCCCGGUGUAGCGGUGAAAUGCGUAGAGAUCGGGAGGAAUACCAGUGGCGAAGGCGGCCUUCUGGACUGACACUGACACUGAGGUGCGAAAGCGUGGGUAGCAAACAGGAUUAGAUACCCUGGUAGUC
rnacentral:rRNA from 1 species